CCGUCGAACGUAACCACCCUCCAUUAUUCGUGCAAAGCUUGAUGCAUGUGAAUAUUUGUUUCCUUCAAAGGAAUGAUAAAUAUCAGGAUGAGCAUCAAGGUGGAGGAUAUCAAUAGGUCCUCCAAGCUUUUCAGACACAGCUCUUACAACAGGAUAGGAUAUGGUAAAUAUCAGGAUGAGCAUCAAGGUGAAGGAUAUCAAUAGGUCCUCCAAGCUUUUCAGACACAGCUCUUACAACAGGAUAGGAUAUGGAGUGAUCACCCCCUAACACCAAGGGACGCAAUGGAUCCUGAAAAGUCAAUAUGGGAAUUGAAUUAACAAAUU
rnacentral:lncRNA from 1 species